CCCCCACCCCCACUCCCCAGGAAUCCGGCACGCGGAGGGGAGGGCAGCGCUGCAGCCGCAGUGCCGUGGUCACGCGAUGCGGGGACGCGAGCGGCGGCGGGAGGAGGAGGCUCCGUGCGGGAGCCAGAGGGCGGGAGCCAGCCCACUCUCCCCUCCUCCGCCGCCCCUUCUCUCUUCCCGUCCAGUGAAGGCUAUGGUCGAAGCCUGGAUUAGGCGCCUGGAAAAUGCGGGACGCGGGGCGGUGCUCCCCGAGAUCUCAGCCUUGGAGGGAGGUGGCUGCGGAAAAGGCUAGGGCAGCCUCCCCCUCUCCCCCGCGCGGGAGGGCACUUCAAUCAGGCCUGAAGAGCCGCCGCUUUAAAUCUUGGAGUCUGGAGGGAAACUGAGGCACAGGGAAGGGAAGACCUGGCUGUGCAGGAGUCCAUGGCUCCUCUGUGUCUCCAGGGCCGCCCUGACUGACCUCCAGCCUCUCUCCAAAGAACCGUAUCUAUCUCCAGCAAUUCACCCGUCGAUGUCUCAGGCCCAAGAGACGGGAUUGGGCAAGAACAGGAUGCCUGUGGCCCUUUGACCGUUGGGGAACUGAAAUCCUGGGAGGUCAAGGGCCUUGCCCAAGCUGCUGAACGAGUUCCCAACCGGGCUAAGAAGCAGACCCAGGAGUCCUGCCCCCAGCCUGGGAGACCCAGGCUUCUCACUGAUGUUUGAGUAGCCGUUGACCCGGUAGGUGGCUUGCCACAGAGCUGCCCCAAUGCCCCGACUGUGCAGGGUCUCCCAGAGAAAGAGGAAACAUCUUGAAGCCCUCUCCAGGCUUCCUCCCCCAAGUCCUGAUGAAGCAACUAGCCUCUGUGCCCAGCGGGCCCACCGGCCCACCGUGGGCCUGGCCUCAGGCUUGCCAGCUCCGCUUGAAGCUAAUCCCUGUCUCACAGACACGAUCCCAGGAACCCAGAGAUCAUGACUGGAGCCGAAGGCAAGUGCUUAACCGACUGAGCCACCCAGGCAUCCCGGCUACAGAACUUUCUGACAUUCCCCACUUCCCCAGCACUACCAAGUGAACACAAACCAGGAGCUUUCCCCCCAAUUAGCGUCUCUCAUGCGGGGGUGAAAACCUUUUUAAUGGUAUCAACACGUGAUUCUGUUGACUUCUGUGGGUAGAGGUCCCUACAAAGAAAACUGGUUUCCCAUUUUGAAAAUUACCCGAGAGAAAUUGGCGUCUUGGCGAAACACAGUAAUUCCAGGAUUUCAAAACCCCAACUUUUCACCUGAGGAGGGGUUGGGAAGCAUACCAACCCAUCCUCUUUUGGCCUGGCAGAAUUCCCCACUCAGCUUUUCAGGAAGGGUUUGCCCCAGGGCGCGGGCCCCCUGGGUACCGAAAGGAAGCGUGUGGCCCUCUCAGCUCCUAUCAUGUGAUCUGGCAGUCCCACUGCUGCUGCUCUGUGGCAAGGCUGAACCAGACCAGCCAAAUGGAAAAUCGUGGCUAGGAACAUUCCACAGGCUGUCGCUGACAUCAGCUCCGGUCUGGGCCUAAAGCAGCCUCUGGCCUGGUCUCCAGUGCCCAACCCCACAUCCUGGAUACUUGCAAGGGGAGAGAGUGUCCCUUUCUGAGGCCGCAGGCAGCCCUCCACCCCACCCGACCAUGCCCACCCACGUGCUCAUUUAUCCCGGUUUGGGGACCCCCGGGCAUCCAAGGGAAGAACUGUGUCAAACUGCCUUAGGCAGUUCCCCAAAAGAAACUGGGAACCAGGAAGAGGGCCCCGGCACCUCUGCAGGGGCGCAGGCACACCGCCCGAGCUGCAUCCAGGCCAAGGGGAUGGGUGUGUCCACAGCUUUCCGGGGGCUUUUCGCUGUGCAAUGUUUUCCACUUUCACAUCUCUCAAACGCUGAGAUGUGUCCUUGGGUCGUUCCCAAAGCAAACAGACAGUGGGCUGGACACAGCCCCAAGCUGGACAUCGCGUUUGCGCUAGUGGUCUGGGGCUGUUCCUCCUACCUGAGGGUGGACCCUGUCUGCCGGGGGAAGGUGAAGUGCCUUCUCACCCAGACCCGCAGAAGCACGCUCCACCUCUGCGCAUGCCUGCUGGAGGCACCUCACUGACCCCUGGUGGCCACCCGGGGGAUGCGUCCCUCUCCUCUUACAUCCAAACCCAGCAGCCACUCACUCAGGCUUCCUCCUCCGUAGAUGCCAUUUGGGGGGGUAGUAGCUUGGGGGCAAAAGAGGGGCACAGAUGCCUUACUUCACCCAGCUGCACAAAGACACGGAUGCUGGAGCGGGGCUUGCCUACCCCUACUGCUCAUUAUCCACAUCCUGAAAAUAGAAAUGCCCCUUCCCUGGAGGCUCGCCUCUUGAAGGUCAAACCCUUCGAUUCUUUUUCAGACACAGCCCUGCUAAUCUAAGCAAUGAUUAUACGGGAUGGGCUGGACAGCUGGGGCUGAGGAGGGGCGCUGGGGGCAAGGGGCACUGUAACCUAAUUGCACACGUGUGCCCCUAAGCCUUUGUGCGUCAAGGGGAGUGAUUUGGCGGAUCCGACGGGAGAGCCAUUUCCAGAAGCAGAGUUCCUCCUUCUCUCUGCUCACCGCCCUGAAGGCCUGGCCCCGGCCACGUGACUAGCAUCUUGAGAAUGAGUUAAGAUGUCAUUUCUCCUUCAAGGCAGCCUCAGAUGAUCCUGGCAGCCUUCUCUGAAACUCACUUUCAAAAGGGAGUGGGGAACUAACCUGUCAAAGCUUACAGGCUAGUUAGUGGCAUUGUUUCUUAAAAGCAAACCAAAACCGGAAUGGGCCUGGCGAGCACUCCUGAGCCGUGGGGAGCUUAUAGGUAGCCGCAGAACACCUCUUGUCUUUUGUCUUCUUGUCUCCUUCCUAGCACUGCAGUCCCCGCGGGUCUGCACACGGAAGUCCUCCAGAAGUGCUUGCGGGCUGACCUCUCUGACCGCAUCCCCCUGGCAGGUGCAACAGAACAGCCAGAAGGGGAGCCACCCCUGGGUGCCAGGUGGCCGCUGCGCUGAUGCAGAGCGCCGGAAGGGCACGGUAUUUGUACUUCAAUAAGGAACCCAGCACACGCAUUGCAGACCUACUGGGAGAAGCACAGAGAAGUAAAAAGAAAAUAGGACUGAGGGUCCACCAAAGAUCAGCACUUAGGGCCUCCACGGGUGACACUGCUUUUUCCACGAGGUAAAAUCCCUCCCACUAACAUCACCGCAGUGCUGACUGCACCCCUUGUCCUUCUAAGCAGAGGGAAGUACCCGGGCAGUUACAUGAGCCUGAAGGACUGGGCUCCAGUGACUCCGUGCCCAGGAGGGACUGGCUGGAGAAGACAGCAGGGUCGCCGCACUUCCUCGCUGACCAAGACUCUCUCCCUGAUCUAAUCAGGCUCACCUGAGCUCUCCUUUUGCUCAGGCACCCCUAGAGAUGGAAGAAUUUUAAAUCCAGCCUUUUUUUGUUUUUGUUUUUGUUUUGUUUAAAUCCAUGAAGGCUCUACCAACUGGCACAGAUGCGGGGAUUCUCUUAUCCCUUGUGUGUCCAUGAAAGAUAAAGGAGGAGGACUUGAAGACUUCACCCCUCUGGCUAAGCCUCCGAUGCCAGCCUUGAAUUUCCCAGCCCCCUCCCCCCGGCCGGACAGUACUUUCCAACAUGAGUCAGAUUUCUAACAACCUGACCAUGUUUUGGAAGAGCAGUUUGAAAUUUACGGAGGAAUGGAAAGGAGGAAGACCUUGUCUGUGGGGAAGGGAAGGGAGGUGCUGAAAUGCUCUCACAUCAAAGGUUACUUGGCUUAUGAGUUGGUAAGCUGGAACUUGGGCUUGUGUGGGUGUUUGCCUCCUGUCUUUCCACCAGCCCUGCUAUCCCACGUGCGUGAACCCUUCCUGGGCAAUCACUAGAUAGACAAUUAAUUUUUCAUCCAAGAAAGGAGCAUAUGUGUCUGAAAGCACUGAUUCCCUGGGCAAGUGUUCCAGUUAUCUGUGUCUGAGCAAUAAAUCACCCAAAAACUUAGUGGCUUGAAGCAAUAAUUUAUUGGGUUCACUGUGGGUUGACAAGGCUCAGAGGGGUGGUUCUCACUUGGGGAUUCAUGUGG